CCAGAGGCAGGGAAUUCCUAUGCUUCACUAGUGACUCAUAAGAAAACUUAAUAGAAGGUCUCUACUGCCUGCUGGCCCUGCAGUACCUGACUGAUGUGGUCCCAAACUAAAGUAGGCUAACCUUCAUUGAACCAAGCACUUCAGAGCCAUGGGAAGAAGUAUGGGGGAAAGAGUUCUUGUACUCUGGCAAUGAGGAAACUUUCUUCAUGGUGGCAAUUUCCAGACUCCAGUGCAAGGAAGGGAAACUGAAGGAGAAUAAGGCGGUUACAUUCAGUUAGAGCCUGAGAGCAGAAUUUGGUUAGGCUGAAGCAGUUGGAAACUGUGGAAUGUAAUACCAGAGAGAAGACUGCCACACAAAGAACUCCAAAAAUUUUGAUUUUCAGCAAAACUUCAGAAGGCAAAAGGGAAAGUUUUCCCAUGGGCCAACGUGGAUAUGUUUCUGUAAUAAUAGUCUGCUCAGCCUUCUACAACAAGAUGUCGCAGACUGGGUGACUUAAACCAGGGAUCCUCCAAUCCUGGCCAUGGAUCGGUACGGGUCAGUGGCCUGUUAGGAAUCAGGCCACGUAGCAGGAGGGUCUUGCUCUGUCACCCAGGCUGGAGCGCAAUGGCACGAUCUCAGCUGACUGCAACCUCCACCUUCCAGGCUCAAGUGAUUCUCCCACUUCAGCUUCUCAAGCAGCUCAUUCUAGGGGGGAAACCAGCUGCCAUAUUAAGAAAACAGUCCUUUGGAAAGGGCCAUGGAACAAAGAAGUGACUUCUGCCAACAACCUCAUGAGUGAACCUAGAAGUGGCUCUUCUAGUCCUGGUCAAGUCUUAUAGACUAUGGCGCCAACGGAUAGUGUGACUGUAACUUCAUAAGAGAUGCUGAACCAGACCACCCAAUAAGACACUCCCAGAUUCCAUACUCUCAAAAGUUGUGUGAAAUAAUCACCCCCAGUUGUAUUAAACUGCUAAGUUUUGGGGUAGUGUGUUACAUAGCAAUAAAUAAUAAAUACAACA